ACUUGUUUGUGUGUGAUUGUGUUUUUUCUAAAUCAGCCAGUAUUUUUAUGUUGAUAAACGUUUCUAUUGUUUAGCUAGUUUAUCAACAAUUAAAUGAAGCACAUUUUCAAACCUUUCUCGUUUACAUGAAGCAUGUCUAAAUAUAGGAUUGGUAAGAAUUAUGAGUGACAAGUGAUGGGUUGCUGUCUACAAAUGUUGAACAUCAUCUACAGGGGGUUCGAUAUUGAGAUUUUUUCGUUUAGCCUGGAUUCCAGUGCCAGUAAUUGGGACGCUUGCACUUGCUGGCGUUGUACUGGACAACGACGUCUACACUUGGACGGCUGUGUUUAUCGGCAUUAGUAUUCUCAGGCCCUACCAUACCGACCCCCUCAACAGCUCUAAACGAGAAACCUAUUUAGAAUACAUAUUUAAAAAUUGUUUUUAUAGUUAGCUACGUUAGAAAGCGUCAUAUGGAGGAACUGCUGUAUAAAACGUUUGGCUGACGCCAUUGAAGCAAGGAGAAAUCACGUCGACAAUUUUCAUAAUUUAAUAAGAUUUUAGUCAGGAUUUUAUAAAAAGUAUACAAUUUAAUUGAGCUGUCCAUGAUCGAAACAGUGUUUGUAAAUGUUUUUUUUUCCAAUGUCGUUUACAGCUUUAGAAAAUAUGAGUAGAAAUAUUUCCCUGUUGAUGUUAGUUGUUUAAUGUUAUGUUUCUUUCGCCCUCAGUAGCGAAGAGAGGGUAGGGGAAACUUGUCCCCGGGCGCCGACCUUAGGAGGCGCCAAAAUGGGUUGGGAAAAAUAAAUUGAAAGGUCGAGGGGGGUGCAAAUCGAAAGUUUGAGGGGGGUUGCAAAUCGAAAUCUUGAGGGGGUGUGCAAAUCGAAAAGUUUGUCCCCGGGCGCCGGGAAGGGUUCCUACGCCUCGGUUCGCCCUCGUUGAUUUUUGUUAUGACCAUGACCAAUUUCUCAUUUAUUCAUUAUCAAGCAACUUAUUUUUCAGUUCAUUGAUUACUUGCUGCCUAAACUGUGUUAAAUAUCUGACAGGGAAUGUUGUUUACUGGAUUAUCUUUACCAUUAUCCAAAUCGCAAAAUAUAAAUUAAAUGACUUUUUAACUACUGUUAUGAACAAGUAUGAGGCUUGCUUGCUAGAACGUCCAAGAGUCUAUACAGCUCUGGUGGGUACCUAGAUUUAUUGCGUCUAGACUUUGUAGAACAGAGUAAUUAAUUUUAAAACAUGUUAUGUGCUUGUAUUUCUUUUUUUUUAAUUUUUUCAAAGUAUUCAGCUAUAGUUGCUGUGUUUACAAUUAGUGUAUUUUUGGUUUGGAAUCGGAGUUGCAGCGGUAAUUUUAAGAUUAAUAUUGCUUCUUCCUUCCUUUACUAAUAUUUAUCGUCUAAAAGAAAUAUAACUUCUAUUUUCUUUACUUCCUUUUGUAAAAACACUGACUGUUACAUUAUUUUCGCUUAAUAAAUCGUGAUUUUAAAGUUUACACUGUUAACUCAGUUGACGCUUUUUUCAAAAAUUACCCUACGUUACAGCUCAAACCCAUCAAAUUUUUUUUAUUAUAAUUUUUUUUUCAAUUUUUAUAAAAUUUUAAUAAAUGAUCAUUAGUUUUUUUAAAUAUCAUCAAAUUAUAUGUCAUAUUUAAAAAAAAACUGUAGGAUUUUGUUUUAAGCAUUACAUCAGGUGUAAAAUCAUCUUUUUGUAUUUUACUGUCAAUAUGCGAUAUGUCUGUGAUGUAACAUUUAAUUUGUUUAAAUGAAAUUUGAAAUGCUAUUAAACAGUUGAUGUGUC